rnacentral:lncRNA from 1 species
UUGUCUUCAGAAUGCAGCUCAGAAAUUUCAGACCCUAGAAAUUUGAAGGGAAGCUGAGAGAUGUCCUUUGUGUGUAUGUGAUUAUGGAGCUGACCAAACAAGCCCAAAGAGUGGUGAGAACACUACAGUCAGGAGGCCUUUCCUCCGAUUAAUGGCUUACACUGUCCCCCUGGCACACAGGAGACUGAGACUGGAAGCUCACAAGUUCUAGGAUAACCUGGACCCUGUCCCAAAAGAAGGAGGGGGAGGAGGAAGAGGAAGAAGAGGAGGAAGAAGAGGAAGUGGAAGAGAGAGGGAAGAAAAGGAAAAGAGGAAGAUGAAGAGGAAGAAGAAAGAGGAGGAAGAAAAAGACCUGUCUCUGUUCUGGUAUAACUGAGAAGACAUUGGAGCAUUUGACUGUCACACUAUGCCUGUGCUGUCACAGUGUGCCUGUGCUGUCACAGUGUGCCUGUACUGUCACAGUGUGCCUGUGCUGUCACAGUGUGCCUGUGCUGUCAGAGUGUGCCUGUGCUGUCACAGUGUGCCUGUGCUGUCACAGUGUGCCUGUGCUGUCAGAGUGUGCCUGUACUGUCACAGUGUGCCUGUGCUGUCAGAGUGUGCCUGUACUGUCAUAGUGUGCCUGUGCUGUCACAGUGUGCCUGUGCUGUCACAGUGUGCCUGUGCUGUCAGAGUGUGCCUGUGCUGUCACAGUGUGCCUGUGCUGUCAGAGUGUGCCUGUGCUGUCACAGUGUGCCUGUACUGUCAGAGUGUGCCUGUGCUGUCACAGUGUGCCUGUGCUGUCAGAGUGUGCCUGUGCUGUCACAGUGUGCCUGUGCUGUCAGAGUGUGCCUGUGCUGUCAGAGUGUGCCUGUACUGUCAGAGUGUGCCUGUGCUGUCACAGUGUGCCUGUACUGUCAGAGUGUGCCUGUGCUGUCAGAGUGUGCCUGUGCUGUCAGAGUGUGCCUGUGCUGUCACAGUGUGCCUGUGCUGUCAGAGUGUGCCUGUGCUGUCACAGUGUGCCUGUGCUGUCAGAGUGUGCCUGUGCUGUCAGAGUGUGCCUGUACUGUCACAGUGUGCCUGUGCUGUCAGAGUGUGCCUGUACUGUCAGAGUGUGCCUGUGCUGUCACAGUGUGCCUGUACUGUCACAGUGUGCCUGUGCUGUCAGAGUGUGCCUGUGCUGUCAGAGUGUGCCUGUGCUGUCACAGUGUGCCUGUGCUGUCAGAGUGUGCCUGUACUGUCACAGUGUGCCUGUGCUGUCAGAGUGUGCCUGUACUGUCAGAGUGUGCCUGUGCUGUCACAGUGUGCCUGUACUGUCAGAGUGUGCCUGUACUGUCACAGUGUGCCUGUGCUGUCACAGUGUGCCUGUGCUGUCACAGUGUUCCUGUGCUGUCACAGUGUGCCUGUGCUGUCACAGUGUGCCUGUACUGUCACAGUGUGCCUGUGCUGUCAGAGUGUGCCUGUACUGUCACAGUGUGCCUGUGCUGUCACAGUAUGCCUGUGCUGUCAGAGUGUGCCUGUACUGUCACAGUGUGCCUGUGCUGUCACAGUGUGCCUGUACUGUCACAGUGUGCCUGUACUGUCAGAGUGUGCCUGUGCUGUCACAGUGUGCCUGUACUGUCAGAGUGUGCCUGUACUGUCAGAGUUUGCCUGUGCUGUCACAGUGUGCCUGUACUGUCACAGUGUGCCUGUGCUGUCACAGUGUGCCUGUACUGUCAUAGUGUGCCUGUGCUGUCACAGUGUGCCUGUGCUGUCGCAGUGUGCCUGUGCUGUCACAGUGUGCCUGUGCUGUCGCAGUGUGCCUGUGCUGUCACAGUGUGCCUGUACUGUCACAGUGUGCCUGUGCUGUCACAGUGUGCCUGUGCUGUCAGAGUGUGCCUGUACUGUCACAGUGUGCCUGUACUGUCACAGUGUGCCUGUGCUGUCACAGUGUGCCUGUGCUGUCAGAGUGUGCCUGUACUGUCACAGUGUGCCUGUACUGUCACAGUGUGCCUGUGCUGUCGCAGUGUGCCUGUGCUGUCACAGUGUGCCUGUGCUGUCACAGUGUGCCUGUACUGUCACAGUGUGCCUGUGCUGUCAGAGUGUGCCUGUGCUGUCACAGUGUGCCUGUGCUGUCACAGUGUGCCUGUACUGUCAGAGUGUGCCUGUGCUGUCACAGUGUGCCUGUACUGUCACAGUGUGCCUGUACUGUCACAGUGUGCCUGUGCUGUCGCAGUGUGCCUGUACUGUCGCAGUGUGCCUGUACUGUCACAGUGUGCCUGUACUGUCACAGUGUGCCUGUACUGUCACAGUAUGCCUGUGCCUGUACUCAGUCCCAAAUACCCUCCCUAAUAACUGGAAACUGCAACAUUCCUGCAGACAAAAAUCUAUAACUAUAUUUGACAGUAUAACAUAGCCAAAAAGCAGUGUGAAGUAAUCUUCACUGUGUAUCUCUAUU